UUUUGCAUUUGUUGAGCUUUUUGAAAGACUUAAAUUAAUAUUUUAAGUCUAUUAAAAAAUAAAAAGACUUUAAUUUUGUAUGAGACCUAAAUUCUUUAACUUAAUUCCCAAACUUUUCUUAACAUUGGUUCUCUUUCUUCUACUCAAAACACAAAACACUUAUUUCUUCAUUUUCUUCCACCGUGAGAAAUUUCUUUCUCUCUUCAUCUUUGUUCAUGUCUAACCCCAAGUUGUGUCGUAGCCUCUACGUGUGAGAUCUCCC
rnacentral:lncRNA from 1 species